rnacentral:lncRNA from 1 species
AAGGUUAGAUGGUGAAUUUUUUAUCCCAGUCAACUUGUUCUUUGUUUUGCAGUUCUAGCAAACGAGUACUUUCCAAAGUUCACCUCGAAAAUAAUUACUGUCACACCUUUAAUUGGAGUUAUCCUGACCACCCUUCUCUGCGCAAGCCCGGUAAGUUGACAAGUUACAAACCAAUGAUAGACUCUCAUAUUACUUAGCAGACAAUUACUGUCACACCUUUAAUUGGAGUUAUCCUGACCACCCUUCUCUGCGCAAGCCCGGUAAGUUGACAAGUUACAAACCAAUGAUAGACUCUCAUAUUACUUAGCAGACAAUGCUCUUUGAAAAUCCUUG